rnacentral:rRNA from 1 species
AUUGAACGCUGGCGGCAUGCUUUACACAUGCAAGUCGAACGGUAACAGGUUAAGCUGACGAGUGGCGAACGGGUGAGUAAUGCAUCGGAACGUGCCCGAUCGUGGGGGAUAACUACUCGAAAGAGUAGCUAAUACCGCAUGAGAACUGAGGUUGAAAGCAGGGGAUCGUAAGACCUUGCGCAACUGGAGCGGCCGAUGGCAGAUUAGGUAGUUGGUGGGAUAAAAGCUUACCAAGCCGACGAUCUGUAGCUGGUCUGAGAGGACGACCAGCCACACUGGGACUGGGACACGGCCCAGACUCCUACGGGAGGCAGCAGUGGGGAAUUUUGGACAAUGGGCGAAAGCCUGAUCCAGCAAUGCCGCGUGCAGGAUGAAGGCCCUCGGGUUGUAAACUGCUUUUGUACGGAACGAAAAGCUUCGGGUUAAUACCCUGGAGUCAUGACGGUACCGUAAGAAUAAGCACCGGCUAACUACGUGCCAGCAGCCGCCGCAGUAA